rnacentral:rRNA from 1 species
AACGUACCUCACCCACCUUUGACAUGUAAGGAAGUUGCCAGAGAUGGCUUCGUGAUAGAAAGAGAGCCGUAAGACAGGUGAUGCAUGUCUGUAGUCAGCUUGUGUCGUGAGAUGUUGGGUUAAGUCCCGCAACGAACCCAACCCUUGUCGUUAGUUCAUACGAAAGGGCACUCUAAUGAGACUGCCGGUGACAAACCGGAGGAAGGUGGGGAUGACGUCAAGUCCUCAUGGCCCUUAUAGGUGGGGCUACACACGUCAUACAAUGGCUGGUACAAAGGGUUGCCAACCCGCGAGGGGGAGCUAAUCCCAUAAAGCCAGUAGUAGUCCGGAUCGCAGUCUGCAACUCGACUGCGUGGAGUCGGAAUCGGUAGUA